UCAGCCAUCUCACUUUGAUGUCUCCCAGUCAUGCUGCUCACUCUACCACCAGCGCUUUCAUCUCCAUGGACACCUCUCCUGGAACUUUAAGGCUGUUGCUACUUCUCUUCUCUUUUGAGGAGGAGGGAAGGUCAUAGCUUUCCUUUGAGCAGCCUGGGACACAUAAGAAAGAACCUUCUCUGCAGCCUUUCACAGCACUUGCCCCCAAAGAUGCUUUCCCGUCCUAGUCUGCACUCAAGGAUGUCUCAGAUAGACUGGUGCCAAGAAGGUGUGGCUGGAGACAUGCUGGGGCAUGGAGAUGUGCGCAGGACAUAUCAAAAAAAACAUUGAUUCAAAAUCCCAGUAGAUUGGAUCAUCUGCAGCUUGGCCAAGGAGGAAGAAGGAAAACACCUUCAGAAGCAGUCAGCUUCCUGUCUUAUGUUUUUGAAGCCGAGCUGAUGGCUCACAGAACGGAUCUCUAAUAUGUAUAUAUAUAAUCCCCAGACCUAAAAGUCGUCUAUUUUAAAAGACAAGUGUUUGCUCACCCAAGGAACAUUGUAGUCAAGCUUUAGACUUUGUGAUCCAUAUGGGUUUCAUCAACUUGUUUGCCAGGAAUUUAAGAAAAACAAACUUUAUUCAUGUUCCUUAGAGAAAUUAAUCCACUUUAUGGUCUGCACAAAAAGAAAUACAGCUUCAGAAAAAAAACAACAAAAAACACCCAGGGCAUUCCUGGAACUGGAAGGUCAGAGAGCCAAAAUAAUGGAUCCACUUAAUAUGAGAAAUGAGUGACUUGCAGUGGCAUCAUUAUCAGCACUGGAAGUACAUGGCUCCAGCUUAGAAAGUGAUUUCAUGUUACAUCUCAUAAAGGACCCCCAAUAUUAAGUGCUUUCCCAAGCCCUCCUAGAACCAGGCACUGCCACUGCUCUGAGAGCAACAUUUACCUUCAACUUAAAGAUGGGGUGUAUAAUCCACUAGAAGCACAUGUUCCUGGAGACUUACCUCUGAGGAGUUAAACUUAGAUGAGAUGAGAUCUAUUCCAUAUAACCCUGUAACAUGCCUUGGCAUAUUUGUUUGUGUGUAAAGAAUUUAGUUAUAUAACCCAUUGUUUGGUUUUCCAAGCUUGAUAAAAACCUGUGGACCUCUACAUAAUUUUAUCAGUAUUUUGUUUUCUGAAUCACAAAGAACAGGCAGUUUCAGUAAGACGUGUCAAUAUACAUUGCUGCUGCAAACAGAGGUGUUUAUCUCCAAUGACACUCGUUUUAAAAGUACAGUCUAAUACAGGAAAUAUAAAUUCUGAUUCAUUCUUAAAGCAAAUAAUUAUGCAGAUUAAUCUCUAUACUGCCCAAAUUUAAAUAGGCAGCCUAAAAUUAAUGCAUUGCAAAUUUUAUGAUUGCAACAUUCUAGUAGGGUAUCUCACCAGCUUUUACAGAAAGCUGUAUUUCUGCUCCAUGAGUGGUUUGUUACAUUGAAUUAAGGUUGCAUUAGAACCCUUUCAGUAAGUCAAAUCACAUUACUCACUCAUAUAGCAUUCUUGGCAAGCAUCAAAAAGCAUGUUUAAUAGUUAGGAACUGCGAGAUUGAGCCAGACAGUGAUCUGAUGUUUAAAACAGGACUAGGCACCUUAAGUCAAAAUUGCAGCAGAGGGAAAAUAAUAAAACUAAAAUUAUUUAUGUUCUUAAGCCAAAAGGCACUUACUAUUGGAAAAUGUUUUUACAUACCCCUGUAUCCUGAACCGAGUAGAAUAAUUUAGCCUUUUCUUCAUAUGUUACUGUGAAAAGUAACUUGUGAAACCACAAUUGUUCUUCAAACAAUAUUGAGGAAAAAACCCAUAGCUGAUCUGUUCUUAGAAAAUGAACCUGAUCUAUUUUAAUGGUGCAUGUGGGACCUGCACAGCCUGGUGCUGGCAGGGAGGGAGGGAGGGACUGUCCCCUUCUGUCCCCAGCUGUAAGGGCCUCAGCAGCAUUUCCUCCAUCCCUUUCUCUGAGCAGUGCAAAGGGACCAAAUCACAUGAGCAAAUCCAUGGUUACCCCUGUUUAGCAUUCAGGCAAUGACACUUGGCUUGCUUUUCUCACGGCAACAACCUCCCUCAGAUGCAUUCCCUCUUGGCUGUCCAUCUUUCAACAAGUCUUCAGGUGGCUCAUGGACAGACACUAAGAAAGUGAAAAGUCCUGCACUUCAUGUGUUAAUUUUUAUGCCAGUAAUGACUAGCUGUUUACUUUUUAAACAAAUGCCUGAUAUACGGUGCAACUGGCUGAGUGCACAGCCAAAAACAGACCACAGGAAAUCUCUUUGACAGCCAGGAAGGCAGAAUUGUUAACGUGCGUCUGCAUUACAGUUAAUUUUUUUUUUUUUUAUAA